rnacentral:rRNA from 1 species
GAACGCUGGCGGUGUGCUUAACACAUGCAAGUCGAACGGGCAAGAGCUGUAGCAAUACAGAAUUCUGCUAGUGGCAAACGGGUGAGUAAUACAUGGGAAUCUACCUUGCAGUGCGAAAUAACAGUUGGAAGCAAUUGCUAAUGUCGCAUAUAGCCGAGAGGUGAAAGAUUUAUCGCUGCAAGACGAGCCCAUGCAGGAUUAGCUAGUUGGUGGGGUAAUGGCUCACCAAGGCGACGAUCUUUAGUUGGUCUGAGAGGAUUGGCCCCCACAUGGGUACUGAGAUACGGAC